rnacentral:rRNA from 1 species
UGGUCGCACGAGCGCACCCCUACCGCCAGUUGCCAUCAUUCAGUUGGGCACUCUGGUGGAACUGCCGGUGACAAGCCGGAGGAAGGCGGGGAUGACGUCAAGUCCUCAUGGCCCUUAUGGGUUGGGCUACACACGUGCUACAAUGGCGGUGACAGUGGGAUGCGAAGUCGCAAGAUGGAGCCAAUCCCCAAAAGCCGUCUCAGUUCGGAUUGCACUCUGCAACUCGGGUGCAUGAAGUUGGAAUCGCUAGUAAUCGCGGAUCAGCACGCCGCGGUGAAUACGUUCCCGGGCCUUGUACACACCGCCCGU